AUACGUAGGGGGCGAGCGUUGUCCGGAAUUACUGGGCGUAAAGGGCGCGUAGGCGGUCUAAUAAGUCAGAUGUGAAACCCCCGGGCUUAACCCUGGGCUUGCAUUUGAAACUGUUGGACUUGAGGACAGGAGAGGAAAGCGGAAUUCCCAGUGUAGCGGUGAAAUGCGUAGAUAUUGGGAGGAACACCAGUGGCGAAGGCGGCUUUCUGGACUGCACCUGACGCUGAGGCGCGAAAGCCAGGGGAGCGAACGGGAUUAGAUACCCCGGUAGUCCUGGCCGUAAACGAUGGAUACUAGGUGUGGGAGGUAUCGACCCCUUCCGUGCCGGAGCAAACGCAAUAAGUAUCCCACCUGGGGAGUACGGCCGCAAGGUUGAA
rnacentral:rRNA from 1 species